UACAGAGGGGGCAAGCGUUAUUCGGAAUUAUUGGGCGUAAAGGGCGCGUAGGCGGCCUGGCAAGUGGAAGGUGAAAUCCCUCGGCUUAACCGAGGAACUGCCUCCCAAACUGCUUGGCUUGAGACCGGGAGAGGUGAGUGGAAUUCCCAGUGUAGCGGUGAAAUGCGUAGAUAUUGGGAGGAACACCAGUGGCGAAGGCGGCUCACUGGACCGGUACUGACGCUGAGGAGCGAAAGCGAUGGGGAGCGAACGAGGA
rnacentral:rRNA from 1 species